CCUACGGGUGGCUGCAGUGAGGAAUAUUGGUCAAUGGGCGCGAGCCUGAACCAGCCAAGUAGCGUGAAGGAUGACUGCCCUACGGGUUGUAAACUUCUUUUAUAAAGGAAUAAAAUGAGGCACGUGUGCCUUUUUGUAUGUACUUUAUGAAUAAGGAUCGGCUAACUCCGUGCCAGCAGCCGCGGUAAUACGGAGGAUCCGAGCGUUAUCCGGAUUGAUUGGGUUUAAAGGGAGCGUAGAUGGGUUGUUAAGUCAGUUGUGAAAGUUUGCGGCUCAACCGUAAAAUUGCAAUUGAUACUGGCAGUCUUGAGUACAGAUGAGGUAGGCGGAAUUCGUGGUGUAGCGGUGAAAUGCUUAGAUAUAACGAAGAACUCCGAUUGCGAAGGCAGCUUACUAAUCUGCAACUGACAUUGAUGCUCGAAAGUGUGGGUAUCAAACAGGAUUAGAUACCCCUGUAGUC
rnacentral:rRNA from 1 species